rnacentral:rRNA from 1 species
AGCGUACACGGUGGAUGCCCUGGCAGUCAGAGGCGAUGAAGGACGUGCUAAUCUGCGAUAAGCGUCGGUAAGGUGAUAUGAACCGUUAUAACCGGCGAUUUCCGAAUGGGGAAACCCAGUGUGAUUCGUCACACUAUCAUUAACUGAAUCCAUAGGUUAAUGAGGCGAACCGGGGGAACUGAAACAUCUAAGUACCCCGAGGAAAAGAAAUCAACCGAGAUUCCCCCAGUAGCGGCGAGCGAACGGGGAGCAGCCCAGAGCCUGAAUCAGUGUGUGUGUUAGUGGAAGCGUCUGGAAAGGCGCGCGAUACAGGGUGACAGCCCCGUACACAAAAAUGCACAUGCUGUGAGCUCGAUGAGUAGGGCGGGACACGUGGUAUCCUGUCUGAAUAUGGGGGGACCAUCCUCCAAGGCUAAAUACUCCUGACUGACCGAUAGUGAACCAGUACCGUGAGGGAAAGGCGAAAAGAACCCCGGCGAGGGGAGUGAAAAAGAACCUGAAACCGUGUACGUACAAGCAGUGGGAGCACAGAGCAAUCUGUGUGACUGCGUACCUUUUGUAUAAUGGGUCAGCGACUUAUAUUCUGUAGCAAGGUUAACCGAAUAGGGGAGCCGAAGGGAAACCGAGUCUUAACUGGGCGUUAAGUUGCAGGGUAUAGACCCGAAACCCGGUGAUCUAGCCAUGGGCAGGUUGAAGGUUGGGUAACACUAACUGGAGGACCGAACCGACUAAUGUUGAAAAAUUAGCGGAUGACUUGUGGCUGGGGGUGAAAGGCCAAUCAAACCGGGAGAUAGCUGGUUCUCCCCGAAAGCUAUUUAGGUAGCGCCUCGUGAAUUCAUCUCCGGGGGUAGAGCACUGUUUCGGCAAGGGGGUCAUCCCGACUUACCAACCCGAUGCAAACUGCGAAUACCGGAGAAUGUUAUCACGGGAGACACACGGCGGGUGCUAACGUCCGUCGUGAAGAGGGAAACAACCCAGACCGCCAGCUAAGGUCCCAAAGUCAUGGUUAAGUGGGAAACGAUGUGGGAAGGCCCAGACAGCCAGGAUGUUGGCUUAGAAGCAGCCAUCAUUUAAAGAAAGCGUAAUAGCUCACUGGUCGAGUCGGCCUGCGCGGAAGAUGUAACGGGGCUAAACCAUGCACCGAAGCUGCGGCAGCGACGCUUAUGCGUUGUUGGGUAGGGGAGCGUUCUGUAAGCCUGCGAAGGUGUGCUGUGAGGCAUGCUGGAGGUAUCAGAAGUGCGAAUGCUGACAUAAGUAACGAUAAAGCGGGUGAAAAGCCCGCUCGCCGGAAGACCAAGGGUUCCUGUCCAACGUUAAUCGGGGCAGGGUGAGUCGACCCCUAAGGCGAGGCCGAAAGGCGUAGUCGAUGGGAAACAGGUUAAUAUUCCUGUACUUGGUGUUACUGCGAAGGGGGGACGGAGAAGGCUAUGUUGGCCGGGCGACGGUUGUCCCGGUUUAAGCGUGUAGGCUGGUUUUCCAGGCAAAUCCGGAAAAUCAAGGCUGAGGCGUGAUGACGAGGCACUACGGUGCUGAAGCAACAAAUGCCCUGCUUCCAGGAAAAGCCUCUAAGCAUCAGGUAACAUCAAAUCGUACCCCAAACCGACACAGGUGGUCAGGUAGAGAAUACCAAGGCGCUUGAGAGAACUCGGGUGAAGGAACUAGGCAAAAUGGUGCCGUAACUUCGGGAGAAGGCACGCUGAUAUGUAGGUGAAGCGACUUGCUCGNGUGAAGGAACUAGGCAAAAUGGUGCCGUAACUUCGGGAGAAGGCACGCUGAUAUGUAGGUGAAGUCCCUCGCGGAUGGAGCUGAAAUCAGUCGAAGAUACCAGCUGGCUGCAACUGUUUAUUAAAAACACAGCACUGUGCAAACACGAAAGUGGACGUAUACGGUGUGACGCCUGCCCGGUGCCGGAAGGUUAAUUGAUGGGGUCAGCGCAAGCGAAGCUCUUGAUCGAAGCCCCGGUAAACGGCGGCCGUAACUAUAACGGUCCUAAGGUAGCGAAAUUCCUUGUCGGGUAAGUUCCGACCUGCACGAAUGGCGUAAUGAUGGCCAGGCUGUCUCCACCCGAGACUCAGUGAAAUUGAACUCGCUGUGAAGAUGCAGUGU